UAGGGAAUCUUCGGCAAUGGACGGAAGUCUGACCGAGCAACGCCGCGUGAGUGAAGAAGGUUUUCGGAUCGUAAAGCUCUGUUGUAAGAGAAGAACGAGUGUGAGAGUGGAAAGUUCACACUGUGACGGUAUCUUACCAGAAAGGGACGGCUAACUACGUGCCAGCAGCCGCGGUAAUACGUAGGUCCCGAGCGUUGUCCGGAUUUAUUGGGCGUAAAGCGAGCGCAGGCGGUUAGAUAAGUCUGAAGUUAAAGGCUGUGGCUUAACCAUAGUAGGCUUUGGAAACCGUUUAACUUGAGUGCAAGAGGGGAGAGUGGAAUUCCAUGUGUAGCGGUGAAAUGCGUAGAUAUAUGGAGGAACACCGGUGGCGAAAGCGGCUCUCUGGCUUGUAACUGACGCUGAGGCUCGAAAGCGUGGGGAGCAAACAGGAUUAGAUACCCUGGUAGUCCACGCUGUAAACGAUGAGUGCUAGGUGUUAGACCCUUUCCGGGGUUUAGUGCCGUAGCUAACGCAUUAAGCACUCCGCCUGGGGAGUACGACCGCAAGGUUG
rnacentral:rRNA from 1 species